rnacentral:rRNA from 1 species
AAGCGGUCACAGCUUAAUCGACAAUCCUCGCUCCUAUUGAAGCGUUGGAAUUGUAGUCUUGGCAUUCGAACGGCGCUGGAUGAUGGGUAAUUCGAUGGAAAUCGAGGUCGUAGAGGGUGACAGCCCCGUGUGCUUGUCGUUCCGGCGUCACUGUUCGUUUGUCUAUCGAGUAGCGUUCCUUGGGAAUGGAGCGUGAAGUGGGUGGUGAUAUCCAUCUAAAGCUAAAUAUUGGCGAGAGACCGAUAGCGAACAAGUACCGUGAGGGAAAGAUGAAAAGCACUUUGGAGAGAGAGUUAAACAGUAUGCGAAAUCGUUGGAAGCAAGCGAAUCAGUGGGUUUAUGCGCGGCUCUGUGUUUCCGGGGACUCGUGUCGGAGUGUGGCUCCUCUGGAGCUGCCUGUGGCGCUGCCAGUCUCUCGGCUACGGGGUGAGGUUUUGGCGCAUGGCUUCGGCCAGCUUUCUGAUCCGACCCGUCUUGAAACACGGACCAAGGAGUCUAAUAUGUGUGCGAGUGCUUGGGCGUGAAACCCCAGCGCGAAGGUAACCCGAUAACGCGUUAGCCGUUCUGCGGCGCAUCGCGGGUAGUGUUUUAUUCCCUAACAAGAGC